ACGAACGCUGGCGGCGUGCCUAAUACAUGCAAGUAGAACGCUGAAGAGAGGAGCUUGCUCUUCUUGGAUGAGUUGCGAACGGGUGAGUAACGCGUAGGUAACCUGCCUUGUAGCGGGGGAUAACUAUUGGAAACGAUAGCUAAUACCGCAUAACAAUGGAUGACCCAUGUCAUUUAUUUGAAAGGGGCAAAUGCUCCACUACAAGAUGGACCUGCGUUGUAUUAGCUAGUAGGUGAGGUAACGGCUCACCUAGGCGACGAUACAUAGCCGACCUGAGAGGGUGAUCGGCCACACUGGGACUGAGACACGGCCCAGACUCCUACGGGAGGCAGCAGUAGGGAAUCUUCGGCAAUGGGGGCAACCCUGACCGAGCAACGCCGCGUGAGUGAAGAAGGUUUUCGGAUCGUAAAGCUCUGUUGUAAGUCAAGAACGAGUGUGAGAGUGGAAAGUUCACACUGUGACGGUAGCUUACCAGAAAGGGACGGCUAACUACGUGCCAGCAGCCGCGGUAAUACGUAGGUCCCGAGCGUUGUCCGGAUUUAUUGGGCGUAAAGCGAGCGCAGGCGGUUUGAUAAGUCUGAAGUUAAAGGCUGUGGCUCAACCAUAGUUCGCUUUGGAAACUGUCAAACUUGAGUGCAGAAGGGGAGAGUGGAAUUCCAUGUGUAGCGGUGAAAUGCGUAGAUAUAUGGAGGAACACCGGUGGCGAAAGCGGCUCUCUGGUCUGUAACUGACGCUGAGGCUCGAAAGCGUGGGGAGCGAACAGGAUUAGAUACCCUGGUAGUCCACGCCGUAAACGAUGAGUGCUAGGUGUUGGAUCCUUUCCGGGAUUCAGUGCCGCAGCUAACGCAUUAAGCACUCCGCCUGGGGAGUACGACCGCAAGGUUGAAACUCAAAGGAAUUGACGGGGGCCCGCACAAGCGGUGGAGCAUGUGGUUUAAUUCGAAGCAACGCGAAGAACCUUACAGGUCUUGACAUCCCGAUGCUAUUUCUAGAGAUAGAAAGUUACUUCGGUACAUCGGUGACAGGUGGUGCAUGGUUGUCGUCAGCUCGUGUCGUGAGAUGUUGGGUUAAGUCCCGCAACGAGCGCAACCCCUAUUGUUAGUUGCCAUCAUUCAGUUGGGCACUCUAGCGAGACUGCCGGUAAUAAACCGGAGGAAGGUGGGGAUGACGUCAAAUCAUCAUGCCCCUUAUGACCUGGGCUACACACGUGCUACAAUGGUUGGUACAACGAGUUGCGAGUCGGUGACGGCAAGCUAAUCUCUUAAAGCCAAUCUCAGUUCGGAUUGUAGGCUGCAACUCGCCUACAUGAAGUCGGAAUCGCUAGUAAUCGCGGAUCAGCACGCCGCGGUGAAUACGUUCCCGGGCCUUGUACACACCGCCCGUCACACCACGAGAGUUUGUAACACCCGAAGUCGGUGAGGUAACCUUUUGGAGCCAGCCGCCUAAGGUGGGAUAGAUGAUUGGGGUG
rnacentral:rRNA from 1 species